AUUUGAACCGCGAAGCAUCGAAAAUAUUAAUCACGGUGAUUAAUUAGCAGUUAAUUAGUCAUUGCUAAUAUCUGAAUACGGAUAUCGCAUCAUGUUGAUGUUAAAGAAAUUUCUUCAUUCAGACAUGCCUCUGGUAUUUUUAUUGACUACAGGAAGAUGAUAUAUUUAUAAGGAGCAUUCAUCAAUACAUCAACCUCUUUAUAUAAAACAUAUUCAUAGAAAUUUAAAAGACACUUUCAUUGUUGUAUGUACGAUAAAUUAUUCUCUCAUGAUGAGUCAUAUAACUAAA